CGUAGGCAGCAAGCGUUGUUCGGAGUUACUGGGCGUAAAGGGUGUGUAGGCGGUUCUUUAAGUUUGGUGUGAAAUCUCCCGGCUCAACUGGGAGGGUGCGCCGAAAACUGAAGGGCUAGAGUGCGGGAGAGGAGAGUGGAAUUCCUGGUGUAGCGGUGAAAUGCGUAGAUAUCAGGAGGAACACCGGUGGUGUAGACGGCUCUCUGGACCGUAACUGACGCUGAGACACGAAAGCGUGGGUAGCAAACAGGAUUAGAUACCCUGGUAGUCCAUGCCCUAAACGAUGCAUAUUUGGUGUGGGUCAUUCAGUUGAUCCGUGCCGGAGCUAACGCGUUAAAUAUGCCGCCUGGGGAGUACAGUCGCAAGGCUG
rnacentral:rRNA from 1 species